AGCAGCCGCGGUAAUUCCAGCUCCAAUAGCGUAUAUUAAAGUUGUUGCAGUUAAAAAGCUCGUAGUUGAAUUUCGGGGUCAGUAGGUUGGUCGUGCCACUGGUAUGCACUGGCCUCACUGAUUCCUCCCUCUUGUAGAACCGUAAUGCCAUUAAGUUGGUGUUGCGGGGAAACAGGACUGUUACUUUGAAAAAAUUAGAGUGUUUAAAGCAGGCUAACGCUUGAAUACAUUAGCAUGGAAUAAUGAAAUAGGACGAUCGAUCCUAUUUUGUUGGUUUCUAGGAUUGACGUAAUGAUUAAUAGGGAUAGUUGGGGGCAUUAGUAUUCAAUUGUCAGAGGUGAAAUUCUUGGAUUUAUUGAAGACUAACUACUGCGAAAGCAUUUGCCAAGGAUGUUUUCAUUAAUCAAGAACGAAAGUUAGGGGAUCGAAGACGAUCAGAUACCGUCGUAG
rnacentral:rRNA from 1 species